AGUGUGCCCGAAGACCCCCGCAGAUCCCUCCCCCUCCAGAGGCCUGGCCUCCCUCUAGUUGGGUGGACGAAGAAGGAGGUGGUGCCAGCAGGGGGUCACAUCAGAACCCGUGACGGACACCCCGUUAUUCUCAUGCAAUUCGCCAACCAAAAACUGUAUUUCUUAUACUGCCACCAAAUCGUCCCUUGCUUCUAUCAGCCUUGCCAAAACUCACGUACUGAUGGUCCUCAGGAAAUUACAGUUUUUACUGUGUCGUCUUUCACUGGGAGUAAUUUUAACAAAUUCUUCCAGGAUAGUUUAACUUUUAGUAGAUAAAUCAAGCUCGGUGUCUGUAUUUGUUGAUUUGUUUAUGCUUUGUCAAACAGAUGACAGUUUUUGGGGUUUUGACUGGCGCACGCUGAUUCCUGCGACCCUGUUCUCGGGGGUCUGGAGCCUUAGCUGGGCACCCUUCCCCAUUUCUGAGGUCCUAUGACCGACCUCCAUGAUUUGAAUACUGAUUUCACUUUUUCCCUCGGUUAAUUUCGAAAGCUCUUCUAGCAGCCAUGGAAUCAACAAAGCUGGGGAAUAUUUGUUGACGGUCGUAGGAGAUGUAUCUCAGCACAACUGAACUGGGUCCUUCAGCCAGAGAACAACCCUUUUGCGCAGAGAGUAUCAGGGCUGAAAGGAACGUCCAAGUUUAUCUGGUGGGAACAGGGGGUCUAGCUGGGGUCCCCUCUCUAACUUUUCCAACAAGCGGCCAGCCAGCCAGCCCAGGGGAUGCUUCCCGAGGAAGCCAGCAGCUCGUUUAGAAAAGCCUCCUGUGUCCUGAACUGAAACCCACCCACAGCUUCUGGUGUUGCCCUCCCGGCCCAGACAGCUAGAUCGAAUCCGCCUUCCUGAAGACCGCUGUCGCUGCAGAUGGCUUUGUGUGCCCCUGGGCCUCCGUCUCUGGGUGAAACGCCGCCACAGCCCACAAGACCAUCGCUGGACUCCUCGCCGGCCACGUGGCCUCUCUCUGGAUGCGACCCAGGUGAGCGUGAGGAGGAUGAAGGUCAGUCCGUUGACUCAGGAGCACCCGGGCGCAGACCGGGGUAAACUCCACGCACACCUUCCACCAAGCAACCGCCCUGGACACAUCACGAUCUGGACUCCUCCCGAGAAGAGGAGCAGCAUGAGGCCAGCCGGCCUGCGGACCCCGGCCAAGUGGGAAAAGACCCCUCUAACCCUCUUCCUCCCUCACAGAGGCGUCGGCCGCAGAACCCGGGCUCCCCUCCCAAACACAGCCGUAUUUCAUUCCAGGUAGAUGAACUGGGCACUGACUGUGAACGGAGCACUGGCUGGGCGCUGGGGAUGUGAUGGUGAACAAGGUCGCAGAUCCGCCUCCGAGAACUCGCCGUCUAGUUAAGGACGACGUGCUAAGGGAAAGCGCGUAUGUUCCGUGGUGUUAGGUGCUGGGCGGAAUGAUAAACACGUAAUGAUAAAUAUUACACAGGUAACAUGACGUGCAUGGGACAAGUACACGUCAUUAGGGAGGGAAGAGGGGGGUAGGUCCCCGGACAGGAGGGGUCCUCGUAGCAAAGCAUCCAAUACCCUCGAUGACUCACUAUUCCAGGUGGGCGCAUCCCUGCUCCACCUUCAGGGACCCUGAUUCCCCGAGUCACUGCCCUGCCGCCCCCUGAGAUAACGUCUUUGUGUGUAGAGUUGAGGCCGGUCGCGGGCCUGUCCCGGGUCCCGCCUGAGGGAAAGGGGGAAAGACAGCAAACCCAGGGCAACCGUCUCCUUUGGGGCAAGCGACAAGUCACACAAGUUUGUUCUCUCGCAAAUCUCGCGUGGGCACCGGGUCACGUGGCCGCACCGGGCCACAAGGGGAACCGGGAAAUGUAGUCUUUGUGGGGAGACUAGGUGACCAGAACGAAGAAGAGAGUGGACUGGCGCGGCGGGGGGGGGGGGGGCCACCAGCCCUCACAUGGUCUGUGCGAGGAAACAAGUGGGGAUUUCUUAAUAAGGUAAGCAGGGGAGCCCUCCUUGGGGGUGACUUCCAAGGAAAGACCUGGACAAGGUGAAGGAGUGAGCCAUACAGUUUUCUGGGGGGAAGGCAAUUCCAGGCAUCAGAGACACAGAGUCCCUGUCACCUGCAGGAAACAGGAGGGACAUCGGGGGGGCUGGAGUCGGUGGAUGGUAGGGAGACUGGGGGACUGAGGUCGCAGAGGUGGCCUGGCCGAGGUGGCCUUAGAGUCCUUGGCCGUGACCCGGCCUUUCCUCUGAGUGGGCACAGGCCACGGGAGGCUUGUGAGCAGGGAAGGGACGUGAUGGGCCUCGCAUUGUGCCAACCCUGUGUCCUGCAUGUGGUCCCCCCUGCUCCCUCCCGAGCCCUCUCGGGGGCCCCAGGCACCUGCACGGCCCUCACCCCCUAGACAUCACCUCCCCCACAGAACCUUCCAUCCACCCUGCAAGACUGCACGGUGUUGGGGGGGGGGGGUGCCAGGCGUCGGGGCAAGAACAGUCCUGCCCGUAUGGUCCACCUGUGGCUGAGCACAGUCUGGAGCCAGAGGGGCAAUCAGGACGUCUCUCUGAAUUAAUUCAUUCGUAUUAGAAGGAGAUUCCUCCCCGAGACUGACAACCCGAGACGAGCCAACUGACCUCCUGUCUUCUCUGUGGGUCUCCAGAAUCCUGCACGUCCAGGAAAACACACAACCGACCACAGCCUAAGAGCUCAGAACUUGCUAGAACACUGCACGGAUGUUGUGUGUGAACGCAGAUCUAGAAUUCUCAAAGCGUCUGAUGCACCUGCCAGCACCCUCAGGGAGGAGACGAGCUGUGGCCUGGGUGGGGACAGUCACCUCGCACACAUCCUGCCGCCCGUGCGAAGUGUCUGGUGGGUACUGCUCGGAACGGAGGCUUCGGGAACGGAGAAGAUGCAUCCUCGUCUUCAACGAGUCUAUAGUCUGCGAAGACAGCUGACAAAUAAGUCUGCGAUUAACAUCACCAGGCAGGUAUGGGGAAGCACAGAGAAGGGGGUGUCCUGGAACGGACCCUGGAGGUGACCCCGUAUGUCAUAUGAACGUGUGCGUGAGGGGAAGGAGGGAAGAGGGGUUCAGGGGUCGUCCCAGGCGCAGGGAGCAGCCCUUGUGAAGACCGGGGGGCCGGUGGGGGUCGGGGUGGGGCAGAGACCAAGGAGAGAACUUAGAAAGCAGGCCGAGAAGCAGCACGGAAAGUUCCGUAGUGAGAGGGCGUGAGUGAGGCGUGCAGGGGAGCUGAGCUGGUGUGUAAGACAGAGAUGGGUGUGUGUGCGGAAGCGGGAGUGACUUGGGAGGGGCCGCAGAGACGUGGAGACCCCAGCAGCACCAUCCAUCGCAGCACGGCGACGACCACGGGCGCCGUUUUCACCCGUCAGACCGACUACGGAUGCACGUCUGACAACAUCAGGUGUCUGGUGACGACGCAGGGAGAGGGGUCCCGGAUCCCGCAGGGAGGACUGAGAAUCGCUGUGUAUUAACCGUGUCUUUGUCUUCUGUGCUGAUACAUGGACACUGGGCCCUUGCCGGCCCUAAACAUUAGGAAGGAGACGAUGUCAGUGCCCGCCCCGCAGGACGCAGGACGGACAGAUCACACCUGGGAAGUGUCCAGACAAGCAGAUCCGGGCACGUUCGCCGCAGGCGCUUUUGCGACGGCGGAAAGUCGGGAACAGCCUGGCGAACGGCAUGACUGUGGUGUGGGCACCGGGAGGGUCGCUGCAGCCCCGAGGGGGGGGUUCGUCUCCACGUGGGAGCCCGGGGUUGAGUAAGAGGGGCAACUCGUGGAACCAGGUGUGCGGCGAGAUGUGCUUUACGGGGAAACGGUACCGUACAUUUUCUGUGGAAAAACGUGAGCACCGAAGAAGAGAGAGACGUGAUGGACGGCAGACGGGGUCGAGUCCAGGUCAGCGAGAGCAGGCGGAGUCAGCGGGGAGAGGUGGUCCGAGGUACUACCGUUGUGUUUCUAUGUUUCUAUGACUUUUAUUUUGUUUUCGUUAUUUAAUGUAUUUGGAUUUUUUUUUUUUUUUGGUUAUUAUGGAUUGCUUAGGUGAUUAAAAAUUUAUCUGAGA